UGACACAACUUUAAAUGUAUUAGUUUUCUGAGCAGAUGAAGACGUUUUAAUUGUAUUGGAAUGUAUUUGUUUGAGUAAACAUUGCCUGAUAACUCAUAUUUUUUAGUUUCAUUCAAACGUGACGUCUGACGUCAUCAACGUCGUUGCAGGACUAGUUCAGAACAGAAUCAGAGAUCUUGUGAUGAGAGACGGAGACAGCAGACUUAAUAAUUGUAUAGUAUCAGUUAGACUUCUAUAAGCAUGUUCCUCCUGUAGAAGAGGAGUCGACCAACUUCGUAGGGUGUGAGUUUGUGAAAAAGAGGACACUUCGUCGCGGGGAGGGGCGUGGUAGUGUGUAGCAUACAGAUGACCCCGCUCCCUCCCCCCGCGACGGAAUUUUGACAUCUUUUCCACAUGCAGAUGUCAUGUGCUGUUGUAAACAAUGGAACUAGUGGAAACGGCACGGUGCUCAGUGUUGCCAGAUUGGAAAUGGUGAAGUAUCGUAUUAAAUGCUCAAAAUGAUCGUCUUUGGAGGAUAAUUAUCGUGCAUCUGGCAACACUGAGAGGCCGGUCGACCAAUGACAGUUCUCGCUACAGUCAGAGCUUGUGCUAGAAGGUGGAACGUAAGGGAGAUACCCUUUCCUAAACUUGUAAGGGCGUAAAAACUAGUUUGUGAAGGACCCAGAGAAACACAAAUAUCCGACGAGGCAAAAUCCCGGACGAUUUUGCAAUCACUGCCGGCCGCAUGUCCGGGUAAAAGAGGACGUCUGGUCACCCCACCAAAGGAGAUAUUUUAGUAAUCCUGUCGCUGCUAAGCGUCCUUAUCUGGCAGAAGGCAUCACGGACUGGUUUUGGUGUUCAAUACCUGCAAUGAGGAAGAGGAGCCAGAUUUUGAUGAUGCUCCUGUUGCUCUCCUUACAUCGGGUCCCGACCCCUUCAUCUUUGAAUUGGGUGCAGAGGUUUUCUGAGGCAUUUAUGUUGUUGUUUGGCCUGACAUGCUUUCAAUUUAGAAUAUCCCAAAAAACUCACGCACAUUCUCAUACAGAACAUUUUUAUGUGUCUGGAUGACAACAAACCUCUGAAAACGUCCUAACUCACCUUAAAAAAUGAUUUGUUGAAAUAAACG
rnacentral:lncRNA from 1 species